rnacentral:rRNA from 1 species
UGAAUACGAGAUGCUACGGCGUCGAAGCAGUGUAUGUCAGACUUCCAAGAAAAGCUCGCAAUGUCAUAAAUAAAGAAUGCCUGUACCAUAACCGACACAGGUGGGUAGGUAGAGUAUACUAAGGGGCGCGAGAUAACUCUCUCUAAGGAACUCGGCAAAAUAACUCCGUAACUUCGGGAGAAGGAGUGCCUUCUUUAAGAAGGUUGCAAUAACAAGAUCCAAGCAACUGUUUAUCAAAAACACAGGUCUCCGCUAAGUCGUAAGACGAUGUAUGGGGGCUGACGCCUGCCCAGUGCCAGAAGGUUAAAGAAGUUGGUUAGCUUUUGCGAAGCUGAUGACUGAAGCCCUGGUGAACGGCGGCCGUAACGAUAACGGUCCUAAGGUAGCGAAAUUCCUUGUCGGGUAAGUUCCGACCCGCACGAAAGGCGUAAUGAUUUGGAUACUGUCUCGGAGAGGGACUCGGUGAAGUAGACUUGUCUGUGAAGAUGCGGACUACCUGCACCAGGACAGAAAGACCCUAUGAAGCUUUACUGUAACUUGAAAUUGAAAUUGGACUUUAUUUGCGCAGUAUAGGUGGAAGGCGUUGAAAGUAAUCUUGCGGGAUUAGUGGAGCCAUCAGUGAGAUACCACUCCUAUAAUGUUAGAUUUCUAACUUUGGAUCAUGAUCUGGUCAAAGAACAGUUUCAGGCGGGCAGUUUGACUGGGGCGGUCGCCUCCCAAAUGGUAACGGAGGCGUACAAAGGUUUCCUCUGAACGGGUAGAAAUCGUAUCUAGAGUGUAAAGGCAUAAGGAAGCUUGACUGUGAGACCUACAAGUCGAGCAGGGACGAAAGUCGGUCUUAGUGAUCUGACGGUGCUGAGUGGAAAGGCCGUCACUCAACGGAUAAAAGUUACUCUAGGAUAACAGGCUGAUCUCCCCCAAGAGUUCACAUCGACGGGGAGGUUUGGCACCUCGAUGUCGGCUCAUCGCAUCCUGGGGCGGUAGUACGUCCCAAGGGUUGGGCUGUUCGCCCAUGAAAGCGGUACGCGAGCUGGGUUCAGAACGUCGUGAGACAGUUCGGUCCAUAUCCGGUGUAGGCGUUAGAAUAUUGAGAGGAGCCUUCUUUAGUACGAGAGGACCGAGAAGGACAUACCUCUGGUGUACCAGUUAUCGUGCCAACGGUAAACGCUGGGUAGCUAUGUAUGGAGAGGAUAACCGCUGAAAGCAUCUAAGUGGGAAGCCCACCUCAAGAUGAG